AAGGUUUUAAGUUAAAAAAACUAGUAGCCUUCAAAGUUAAAAAUAAAAUGUAUUUUAAACCUUA
rnacentral:tRNA from 1 species